AUGGUUAAGUUAGAAAGGGCGCACGGUGGAUGCCUUGGCACUAGGAGCCGAUGAAGGACGGGACGAACACCGAUAUGCUUCGGGGAGCUGUAAGCAAGCUUUGAUCCGGAGAUUUCCGAAUGGGGAAACCCACUGCUCGUAAUGGAGUAGUAUCCAUACUUGAAUACAUAGAGUAUGAGAAGGCAUACCCGGGGAACUGAAACAUCUAAGUACCCGGAGGAAGAGAAAGCAAAUGCGAUUCCCUGAGUAGCGGCGAGCGAAACGGGAACAGCCCAAACCAAGAGGCUUGCCUCUUGGGGUUGUAGGACACUCUAUACGGAGUUACAAAGGAACGAUAUAAGCGAAGAGGUCUGGAAAGGCCCGCCAAAGAAGGUAACAGCCCUGUAACUGAAAUGUUGUUCUCUCCAGAGUGGAUCCUGAGUACGGCGGAACACGUGAAAUUCCGUCGGAAUCCGGGAGGACCAUCUCCCAAGGCUAAAUACUCCCUAGUGACCGAUAGUGAACCAGUACCGUGAGGGAAAGGUGAAAAGCACCCCGGAAGGGGAGUGAAAUAGAUCCUGAAACCGUGUGCCUACAAGUAGUCAGAGCCCGUUAAAGGGUGAUGGCGUGCCUUUUGUAGAAUGAACCGGCGAGUUACGAUCCCGUGCAAGGUUAAGCAGAAGAUGCGGAGCCGCAGCGAAAGCGAGUCUGAAUAGGGCGCAUGAGUACGUGGUCGUAGACCCGAAACCAGGUGAUCUACCCAUGUCCAGGGUGAAGUUCAGGUAACACUGAAUGGAGGCCCGAACCCACGCACGUUGAAAAGUGCGGGGAUGAGGUGUGGGUAGGGGUGAAAUGCCAAUCGAACCUGGAGAUAGCUGGUUCUCUCCGAAAUAGCUUUAGGGCUAGCCUCAAGGUAAGAGUCUCGGAGGUAGAGCACUGAUUGGACUAGGGGCCCCUACCGGGUUACCGAAUUCAGUCAAACUCCGAAUGCCGAUGACUUAUCCUUGGGAGUCAGACUGCGAGUGAUAAGAUCCGUAGUCGAAAGGGAAACAGCCCAGACCGCCAGCUAAGGUCCCAAAGUAUACGUUAAGUGGAAAAGGAUGUGGAGUUGCUUAGACAACCAGGAUGUUGGCUUAGAAGCAGCCACCAUUUAAAG
rnacentral:rRNA from 1 species